rnacentral:rRNA from 1 species
UGUACACGCUGUGACUAGCAUAUCAAUAAGCGGAGGAAAAGAAACUAAUAAGGAUUCCCCUAGUAACGGCGAGUGAAGCGGGAAGAGCUCAAAUUUGAAAUCUUAAAGGGUUUCCCUUUACGAAUUGUAGUUUAAAGAAGUGUUUUCUGUUGAGGUUUUGGUAAAAGUUCUUUGGAAUAGGACAUCAUAGAGGGUGAGAAUCCCGUAUUUGACCUUUACUUUCAACUUUGUGAUAUACUUUCAAAGAGUCGGAUUGUUUGGGAAUGCAGUCCAAAAUGGGUGGUAAAUUUCAUCUAAAGCUAAAUAUUGGCGAGAGACCGAUAGCGAACAAGUACCGUGAGGGAAAGAUGAAAAGAACUUUGAAAAGAGAGUUAAACAGUACGUGAAAUUGUCAAAAGGGAAGCGUUUGACACCAGUGUUGUUUUUCUGAAAAUCAAUUAAAGAACUGUUUAUGCUAAGUUGUUUAGACUUUAUCAGCUAACUGUUUAGUUUUGAGCUUUUCUUUAAUGCACUUUUCAGUUAACAAGUCAACAUCAAUUUCUUUUGCUGUAAAAAAGCUUGAGGAAGGUGGCUUGAGAUUCGUCUUAAGUGUUUAUAGCCUCUUGCCUAUGCAGUCGGAGAGAUUGAGGUCUGCAGCGUAGAUCCUUCGGGGCUAAAUGCAUUUGUGCUAAGUUAUAGCAUUUUAUAGACAACUUGUUGACUAUGAUUUGUCUUGUAGCUUACUCGCUUAUGUUAUUUUACCUACGCUUAGGAUGUUGAAGAUGUAGCACAUCAU